AUGCUUCAAGAUAGGUACAUAGAUCAAAAUCUUAGCAAGAUUCAUGCCAUAUUUUCAAGUGAACUCAAAAAGAUCAAGCCGGAAUUCAGAGCAUACAAUAUCAUGAAGAAAUGGUCACUUACCAUUCGAAUACGGAUCCGUAUUCACCUUACAUCGAGUGUCAAAGCAAGCCAAAUGAUGAACCUUGCACAUUCGUUUGACAUCCCAUCAAUUAAACAUGCAUAUUACAACAAGUAA